UCUCUGAUAGUAUAUCGGUUAGUACACGCGCCUGUCAUUCGUUGCGUGUGUGGUUCGCCGUUGUGCGCGCGAAAGCUGGGUUCGACUCCCAGUCAGAGAG